UACAGAGGUGGCAAGCGUUGUUCAGAAUUACUGGGCGUAAAGCGCGCGUAGGUGGCCUCAUAAGUCCGUUGUGAAAGUCAAAGGCUCAACCUUUGAAAGCCGAUGGAUACUGUGAGACUAGAGUACGGAAGAGGCGAGUGGAAUUCCUGGUGUAGCGGUGGAAUGCGCAGAUAUCAGGAGGAACACCAAUAGCGAAGGCAGCUCGCUGGGACGUUACUGACGCUGUGGCGCGAAAGCGUGGGGAGCAAACAGG
rnacentral:rRNA from 1 species